AGUUCGUGAUGUGGGAAACAUCAGAGCAAGUCUGUGUACCUCUCUCAGGCAUCAUACAUGCUCUCGUCCUCAAACUGCUCAAAAGAAGAUAUAUCAUUUCUCAAUCU
rfam:Ricinus communis cultivar Hale ctg_1100012360303, whole genome shotgun sequence.